rnacentral:tRNA from 1 species
GCGCUCAUAGCUCAGCUGGAUAGAGUACCUGGCUACGAACCAGGCGGUCGGAGGUUCGAAUCCUCCUGNNNNAGCGCGCCA